UACGUAGGUGGCAAGCGUUGUCCGGAUUUACUGGGCGUAAAGGAUGCGUAGGUGGAAACUUAAGUGGGAUGUGAAAUCCCCGGGCUCAACCCGGGAACUGCAUUCCAAACUGGGUUACUUGAGUGCAGGAGAGGAAAGCGGAAUUCCCGGUGUAGCGGUGAAAUGCGUAGAGAUCGGGAGGAACACCAGUGGCGAAGGCGGGUAACUGGACUGCAACUGACGCUGAGGCGCGAAAGUGUGGGGAGCAAACAGGAUUAGAUACCCGGGUAGUCCCUGAGCGGGCUGG
rnacentral:rRNA from 1 species